UACAGAGGUCUCGAGCGUUGUUCGGAUUCAUUGGGCGUAAAGGGUGCGUAGGUGGCGCUGUAAGUCGGGUGUGAAAUCCUGAGGCUUAACCUCGGAACUGCAUUCGAUACUGCGGCGCUUGAGGACUGGAGAGGAGACGGGAAUUCAUGGUGUAGCAGUGAAAUGCGUAGAGAUCAUGAGGAAGACCAGUGGCGAAAGCGGCCCCCUGGAUUCAUACUGACGCUGAGGCGCGAAAGCGUGGGGAGCAAACAGG
rnacentral:rRNA from 1 species